rnacentral:tRNA from 1 species
GCGCCGGUAGCUCAACUGGAUAGAGCAUCUGACUACGGAUCAGAAGGUUGGGGGUUCGAAUCCUCCCCGGCGUG